GAUAAACGCUGGCGGCGCACAUAAGACAUGCAGGUUGAACGGACUUAAUCGAAAUAUUUAUAUUUUGAAGCGGUUAGUGGCGGACUGGUGAGUAACGCGUAAGGAACCUGCCUAUUAGAGGGGAAUAACAGUGAGAAAUCAUUGCUAAUACCGCAUAUGCCAUAGAUAUCACAUGAUAACAGUGGGAAAGGAGCAAUCCGCUAAUAGAUGGCCUUGCGUCUGAUUAGAUAGUUGGUGGGGUAACGGCCUACCAAGUCGACGAUCAGUAGCCGGACUGAGAGGUUGAACGGCCACAUUGGGACUGAGAUACGGCCCAGACUCCUACGGGAGGCAGCAGUCGGGAAUAUUGCGCAAUGGAGGAAACUCUGACGCAGUGACGCCGCGUAUAGGAAGAAGGUUUUCGGAUUGUAAACUAUUGUCGUUAGGGAAGAGAAAGGACAGUACCUAAGGAGGAAGCUCCGGCUAACUACGUG
rnacentral:rRNA from 1 species